AUCUUUGUUGAAGAUUGCUGUGGAAGAAUUGACCAAGCAGGGCUGCAGUGUCACAGUGUCAGAUUUAUAUGCAAUGCAGUUUGAGCCAAGAGCAACAAGAAAUGACAUUGUUGGUCGCUUGCAUAACUCGGAAGCUUUCAAUUAUGGUGUGGAGACCUGGGAAGCUUACAAGAGGGGAGGUUUGUCCAAAGAUCUGGUUGAAGAGCAAAAGAAGGUGCAGGAAGCAGACUUGCUGAUUUUUCAGUUUCCCUUGUUUUGGUUCAGCAU